GAUGAACGCUGGCGGCGUGCCUAAUACAUGCAAGUCGAGCGAACAGACGAGGAGCUUGCUCCUCUGACGUUAGCGGCGGACGGGUGAGUAACACGUGGAUAACCCACCUAUAAGACUGGGAUAACUUCGGGAAACCGGAGCUAAUACCGGAUAAUAUAUUGAACCGCAUGGUUCAAUAGUGAAAGACGGUUUUGCUGUCACUUAUAGAUGGAUCCGCGCCGCAUUAGCUAGUUGGUAAGGUAACGGCUUACCAAGGCAACGAUGCGUAGCCGACCUGAGAGGGUGAUCGGCCACACUGGAACUGAGACACGGUCCAGACUCCUUCGGGAGGCAGCAGUAGGGAAUCUUCCGCAAUGGGCGAAAGCCUGACGGAGCAACGCCGCGUGAGUGAUGAAGGUCUUCGGAUCGUAAAACUCUGUUAUUAGGGAAGAACAAAUGUGUAAGUAACUAUGCACGUCUUGACGGUACCUAAUCAGAAAGCCACGGCUAACUACGUG
rnacentral:rRNA from 1 species